UACGUAGGUGGCAAGCGUUGUCCGGAUUUAUUGGGUUUAAAGGGUGCGUAGGCGGCCCUAUAAGUCAGUGCUGAAAUAUCCCGGCUUAACCGGGAGGGUGGCAUUGAUACUGUAGGGCUUGAGUCGAGUUGAGGUUGGCGGAAUUGACGGUGUAGCGGUGAAAUGCUUAGAUAUCGUCAAGAACACCGAUAGUGAAGACAGCUAACUAAGCUCAAACUGACGCUGAGGCACGAAAAGUGUGGGGGAUCAAAACAGG
rnacentral:rRNA from 1 species